rnacentral:rRNA from 1 species
GACGAACGCUGGCGGCGUGCUUAACACAUGCAAGUCGAGCGGUAAGGCUCCUUCGGGAGUACACGAGCGGCGAACGGGUGAGUAACACGUGAGCAACCUGCCCUUCUCAUCGGAAUAAGCGUUGGAAACGACGUCUAAUGCCGAAUAUGACUUCCUUUUGCAUGAUUGGAAGUGGAAAGCUCCGGCGGAGAAGGAUGGGCUCGCGGCCUAUCAGCUAGUUGGUGUGGGUAACGGCCCACCACGGCGACGACGGGUAGCCGGCCUGAGAGGGUGACCGGCCACACUGGGACUGAGACACGGCCCAGACUCCUACGGGAGGCAGCAGUGGGGAAUAUUGGACAAUGGGCGAAAGCCUGAUCCAGCAACGCCGCGUGAGGGAUGACGGCCUUCGGGUUGUAAACCUCUUUCAGCGGGGACGAAGCGAAAGUGACGGUACCCGCAGAAGAAGGACCGGCCAACUACGUGCCAGCCGCCGCAGUAACAC